UGAGGAAUAUUGGUCAAUGGACGCAAGUCUGAACCAGCCAAGUAGCGUGCAGGAUGACGGCCCUAUGGGUUGUAAACUGCUUUUAUGCGGGGAUAAAGUGUGGGACGUGUCCCAUAUUGCAGGUACCGCAUGAAUAAGGACCGGCUAAUUCCGUGCCAGCAGCCGCGGUAAUACGGAAGGUCCUGGUGUUAUCCGGAUUUAUUGGGUUUAAAGGGAGCGUAGGCUGUUGCUUAAGCGUGUUGUGAAAUGCCGCGGCUCAACCGUGGCACUGCAGCGCGAACUGGGCGGCUUGAGUUACCGGUAGGCAGGCGGAAUUCGUGGUGUAGCGGUGA
rnacentral:rRNA from 1 species